CACAAACCGCAGAUAACAUGCAACCCACCAAAGGCAUUUUCUUUUGAUGGUUGUUUCUGCGUAAAUAAGUGGAACUCAGCUAAACUCUUGUUAUGCAUUCUGCUUGGGGUCAGCAACAUUGUGCCUAUCAACUCAUCGUCACUAUUAUCAGUGCUGACAGUGUUUUAGCUACUGUACACAUGUACCAGAGGGCACAAUCCCUUUCCAUUUACUAGCAGAACAAAAUACUUAUGAGAAGAAGAAAUGAAUGUGCUUCUCUAUGGCAGUUUUCAUGAGGAUGGCAUCUCAAAGUACUUUACAAAGCGAUGAGAGAGAGAGAUAAUACAAUGGCUGGAUAUUAACUAUUGUGUGGAAGGCUACCAGGGAGGAGAACAAGGGACUUCAAAAAGAAGCAUGUUGAAGAGUGACUGGGACAAGGAGCGGUGCCUGCACAAAGUCUGUGAGCUUUGCUAAUACUACGUGGAACACCACAAAGGGGACUUUGAAGGUUAGACAAGCUCCAAGUGGUCUUGUGUCUUCUACUGUUCCUAUUGGCACAAGCAAGAUUUUAACAAAUUUCCUUGUAAAGGAAGCAGCUGUGCCCACCUGAAACUUGUGAUCCUGCUCCUGUCUUUGUUUCAAGGUGAUUUGCAUCAUCACAGAACCUCACAAGAGGUGAGAUGCUCCAUACCAGCUAUGAACUGACUGCCUAGUGGAGUUUUCCACGUAUUGAUUCCUCUGCGAAAUCCUGUGAAAUAUGAACUUUCAU